rnacentral:rRNA from 1 species
GACAGAGGCCUCAAGCGUUAGGCGGAAUCACUGGGCUUAAAGCGCGUGUAGGUGGACGGGUAAGUAUCUUGUGAAAUCCCACAGCUCAACUGUGGAACUGCUGGAUAUACUGCUUGUCUUGAGGCAUUCAGGGGCAACCGGAACAAAUGGUGGAGCGGUGAAAUGCGUAGAUAUCAUUUGGAACGCCUAUGGUGAAAACAGGUUGCUGGGGAUGUUCUGACACUGAGACGCGAAAGCCAGGGGAGCAAACGGG